rnacentral:rRNA from 1 species
CUACGGGCGGCUGCAGUGGGGAAUAUUGCACAAUGGGCGCAAGCCUGAUGCAGCCAUGCCGCGUGUAUGAAGAAGGCCUUCGGGUUGUAAAGUACUUUCAGCGGGGAGGAGGGGAGUAAAGUUAAUACCUUUGCCCAUUGACGUUACCCGCAGAAGAAGCACCGGCUAACUCCGUGCCAGCAGCCGCGGUAAUACGGAGGGUGCAAGCGUUAAUCGGAAUUACUGGGCGUAAAGCGCACGCAGGCGGUUUGUUAAGUCAGAUGUGAAAUCCCCGGGCUCAACCUGGGAACUGCAUCUGAUACUGGCAAGCUUGAGUCUCGUAGAGGGGGGUAGAAUUCCAGGUGUAGCGGUGAAAUGCGUAGAGAUCUGGAGGAAUACCGGUGGCGAAGGCGGCCCCCUGGACGAAGACUGACGCUCAGGUGCGAAAGCGUGGGGAGCAAACAGGAUUAGAUACCCUUGUAGUC